UGCUGCUUCCUUGCGCUCUAGCGGCGGCCGGACGCCGUGGCGCUCCUUCAACGCCUGUGCUCAAUCUGUUCCUCCGGUUCUUGGUGCAACAGCAGCAACAGCUUCAUCUGCGCGCGUGCGUGUGCGUGGUGGACUAGGGAGAAGGCGAAGGAAAGGAAAAGGGGACCAGCGCUGGGAGCGCCGUAGCGCUCUCUCGCUCUUUCUCCCUCGCGCCGCGCGCGCCCGCGGCCUCACACAUACAUACGAGGGAAAAGCUGGGUCGAAGAAAAGGGGAGGCUGCGUUGGCGAUGAGGUCAUGGACAGCGCCUUGAAAUACUGCCGGUGGCUGCCGUGCCUUUACCGGGCUGGCAAAAAAGCGAGGAGGGGGCGUGGAAAACGGAUAUUAAGAAUCCACCCAUCCCCUCCCACCCCCUAAAAAUAACGCCAGAGGGCCGUCUGGGUCUCUUAUAAGCGGCGUUUCUCCUCAACGAAUUGCAGAAGAUCAAAAUAAAACAAUGGAUCACUCAAGUCUCCUGUUAGCACAGUGGUCAUCCAUGGAAGCGUUAAAUAAAUGCAGUAUCUGUUCUUUUGAAGCAACAGGCAGGAAUCACAGGCUUUUUCAAUACCAGUACAAUUGCUGUUGUACCCUUUGACUUAACUAUAUGUGGCAAGAACUGCUUAGAUGACUCUAGAUGCAGCAAAUUCUCAGACCCAUAUCUUAAUUAAAUGGGAUUUAUUGCCACAUUGGUGAAGAGUGAUAUGUAGGAAUGCAAUUUCAGCCAAAUCAACAACAAAAGCCAACCAUAAGCAGAACAUCACAGUAACUACAACUUAUAGAUACCUAUUGCCAUCUACAUAUAGUAAAUUAAUUGUGAACUUACAUUGAGAGUUUUAAAGGGCAGAAAAUAAACUUUCAAGGUACUGUAAACACUAUUGCAAAUAAGUUGCCUUUGGUUCUGUUUUUCUGUGAAUAAUGAAGUAAUUCACUCUUUUUAAUAAAAAAUGUAUAAUUGAAUCAUAUGUAGCCAUUGAUCAGAAAGUCUGUUUCUACAGGACAACUAUUAUCAUUCCUCUCUGAUUAAAAAUGAGUAUCAAACAUAAUCCUUAAAUGUAUGAUUCCAUCUUCAGGUAUGAUGGAAAUAGCUAAUUAAGAUGGGUGGAGUCCUUUAUGUUUUCAAUGUCAGCUACUUAAGACUCUUCUCUGGUUUCUGAUUCUGUACUUAUCCAUCAUGCAAAGAAGGAAUUUGAAACUAAAUGCCCUAUUAUUAAAGUGGACACUAAUCCUAAGUGGAUACUAGUAGAUAGGUAUAGUAUAAAAAAGUAAGAAAACUCUUAUUGCAAUAAUGGCGAAUAGCUGUAGCUCAGGUGUAAGAUUAGGGUGAAGGUUCAUUCUCCGAGCUUGUGGGUUGGUUUCCGAAUGUUUCAUUAUCAUACUAGAUAACAUUUUCAGUAGAGUUUAGGGGAUGUCAGUAUUCUUCUGUUUAUAAGGGCUUCGUGUGGUCAGUAGGUCUUGUGAUGGUGAGGUCGUGUCAGAUGAGGGUUCCAUCAGGUCAGGGUCUUGUGAUGAGUCGUGUGUGGGUAUGUCAAGUGAAGUAUCAGGGUUCCAAGUAAUACCUCCAAUGUCAAGCCUCGGCAAGAGCUUGACAAAUAAAGCAACGGGGAGAGCACACGAACCUGAGGGAUCGGCUGAAAGGAAGCACGAAUCCAGGGCACAUGGUCCCAUGGACACGGAUGAUGGUGGUGGCGACUGUGCAACACGGGGAAGGCAGGGGAUCAGCACUGGCAAUGCAGGGCUGUUGGCUGGGGGGACCGACGCUGAGCAAUGACGUCAGAUCCCGGACAGCAAACAGAAGCCAGGCAGCGUCUUUGAAGCAGCUGCUGAACAGCUGUCAAGCCUGAUUGCAAAGGACUGGGGAGGGGUGUGUGGUGAUGGCUAGAAAAAGGCACUGAGGCGGAAGCUCUCAGCGCUGACUUUAAACUAUUGCAGACCGAUUUCGACUAAGAGCCACCUUUUAGCGGAGAAUAAACCGACUUCUAACCAGCAACUAGUGUCUAGCAUGUUUUUCAUCCAGUUCUCACACAGGGCGGUUUAGCAAGCCGAGACCCAAUGAAAGAAGACUCCAAGGCUUGAAAUUCCUCAAAGUUCUAUUUUAUUAGAGAUGUCAUAUUGGCACAUCUGGGAAAACCUGAAUCUGAAAGCUUUCAGGUUUUCCCCACCCAAAGGAAAGUCCAAGUCCCUGCCCAGCACCCACAUGUCCAUCACAUGGUCCAAUCAAAGUACCGUCCCAACCAGAGAUGCCUCCCAGUUCCAGCCCUCUAGGUGCAGGGCACGAUACCUUUGACUCUCUGAGAAAGGGAUGUUGUUAUAACUAUAUAUACUCACUCUAUACAAUCUCCCCACCCAAUUUCCCAUAGUAAAUGUGGCAGGCCUGAAGGCCCAAUGCAAAAGAUGAUUCCCAGGCCUGACAGGAGUGUCUUGUGGCUGGACUUGUGAUGGGUCAGAUGUGAAUCACCAUGUUGUGGUCCAUCAGCAGCCUCCAGAGCUGGCAACUGAGUCAGACAACGAUGAGGCUGAGGUGAGGCCAGAGCCAUCGGGAAGUGAGGUGCGGACUCCAGAGCCUCCAGAGACUGAUAGUAGUGAGGCAGAGGAACAGGAGGAUCCUGUUCCUAAUGCACACAUGAGAAGAGCUGCCAGAAGGCAAGAGCAGUUCAAGCAGAGAGGACAACUCGGGAGUAGGGCCAAGAGAUGAUUGGCCCUGCCCAUAAGGCUUAAAACAGACCAGCAACGGCAUUUCUGCUUUGCCGGAAAACAACGUUGUAGCUGCGUUUUCUGCUCCGUCUUCUGCUUUGUAUACGUCUUUGUUUUUGUGGUUUCUGGAUGUCUGCCAGGAAGGGCCUUUGGCAGUUUGCCUAAUUGGACUAAGGUUUGUGAGAUAAUUGAGGAAUUUGUGUUGGGAGGCAUUUGUUUUACUUUGAGUUGAACGAUGCU